rnacentral:rRNA from 1 species
GAUGAACGCUGGCGGCGUGCCUAAUACAUGCAAGUCGAGCGGUAAGGCCCUUCGGGGUACACGAGCGGCGGACGGCUGAGUAACACGUAGGAACGUACCCCAAACUGAGGGAUAAGCACCAGAAAUGGUGUCUAAUACCGCAUGUGGCCCACGGGCUAAAGCUCCGGCGGUUUGGGAACGGCCUGCGUCCGAUUAGCUAGUUGGUAGUGUAAUAGACUACCAAGGCGACGAUCGGUAGCUGGUCUGAGAGGAUGAUCAGCCAGACUGGGACUGAGACACGGCCCAGACUCCUACGGGAGGCAGCAGUAGGGAAUUUUCCACAAUGGGGGCAACCCUGAUGGAGCAACGCCGCGUGCAGGAUGAAGGCCUUCGGGUUGUAAACUGCUUUUAACUGUGACGAUUAUGACGGUAGCAGAUGAAUAAGGACCUGCUAACUACGUGCCAGCAGCCGCCGUAA